GACGUAGGGCGCAAGCGUUGUCCGGAUUUAUUGGGCGUAAAGAGCUCGUAGGCGGCUUGUUGCGUCGACCGUGAAAACCCGGGGCUCAGCCCCGGGCCUGCAUUCGAUACGGGCAGACUAGAGUUCGGUAGGGGAGUCUGGAAUUCCUGGUGUAGCGGUGAAAUGCGCAGAUAUCAGGAGGAACACCGGUGGCGAAGGCGGGACUCUGGGCCGAUACUGACGCUGAGGAGCGAAAGCGUGGGGAGCAAACAGG
rnacentral:rRNA from 1 species